AGACGAGGGUGGCAAGCGUUACCCGGAUUUACUGGGCGUAAAGCGUUCGUAGGUGGUUUUGAAAGUUUGUUGUUAAAUCCUAAGGCUUAACUUUAGGGCUGCAGCAAAUACUUCAAGACUAGAGAAAAAGAGAGGUAAGCGGAACUCCUGGUGUAGCAAUGAAAUGCGUUGAUAUCAGGGGGAACACCAAAGACGAAGGUAGCUUACUAGCUUUUUUCUGACACUGAGGAACGAAAGCGUGGGUAGCGAAUGGGAUUAGAUACCCCGGUAGUCC
rnacentral:rRNA from 1 species